rnacentral:rRNA from 1 species
UGGGGAAUUUUGGACAAUGGGCGAAAGCCUGAUCCAGCAAUGCCGCGUGUGUGAAGAAGGCCUUCGGGUUGUAAAGCACUUUUGUCCGGAAAGAAAUCCUUGGCUCUAAUACAGUCGGGGGAUGACGGUACCGGAAGAAUAAGCACCGGCUAACUACGUGCCAGCAGCCGCGGUAAUACGUAGGGUGCAAGCGUUAAUCGGAAUUACUGGGCGUAAAGCGUGCGCAGGGCGGUUUGCUAAGACCGAUGUGAAAUCCCCGGGCUCAACCUGGGAACUGCAUUGGUGACUGGCAGGCUAGAGUAUGGCAGAGGGGGGUAGAAUUCCACGUGUAGCAGUGAAAUGCGUAGAGAUGUGGAGGAAUACCGAUGGCGAAGGCAGCCCCCUGGGCCAAUACUGACGCUCAUGCACGAAAGCGUGGGGAGCAAACAGGAUUAGAUACCCUGGUAGUCCACGCCCUAAACGAUGUCAACUAGUUGUUGGGGAUUCAUUUCCUUAGUAACGUAGCUAACGCGUGAAGUUGACCGCCUGGGGAGUACGGUCGCAAGAUUAAAACUCAAAUGAAUUGACGGGGUCAUA